AUACGGAGGAUGCAAGCGUUAUCCGGAUUUAUUGGGUUUAAAGGGUGCGUAGGCGGAUGAUUAAGCGUGAGGUGAAAUGCCACUGCUCAACAGUGGAACUGCCUCGCGAACUGGUUGUCUUGAAUGCUCCUGCCGUGGGAGGAAUGUGUGGUGUAGCGGUGAAAUGCAUAGAGAUCACACAGAACACCGAUUGCGAAGGCAUCUCACGAAGGGGUGAUUGACGCUGAGGCACGAAAGCGGGGGGAUCAAACAGGAUUAGAUACCCUGGUAGUCCACGCAGUAAACGAUGAUAACUAACCGCUGGGUCGUAGUGAUUCAGUGGCCAAGCGAAAGCGAUAAGUUAUCCACCUGGGGAGUACGACCGCAAGGUUGAAACUCAAAGGAAUUGACGGGG
rnacentral:rRNA from 1 species